rnacentral:rRNA from 1 species
GAUGAACGCUAGCGGCAGGCCUAACACAUGCAAGUCGAGGGGCAGCACAGGUAGCAAUACUGGGUGGCGACCGGCGGAUGGGUGCGUAACGCGUAUGCAACCUACCAUUGAUUGGGGCAUAGCCCGAAGAAAUUCGGAUUAAUACUCCAUAAUAUUCAUCAAAGGCAUCUUUUAUGAACUAAAGCUUUUGCGAUCAAUGAUGGGCAUGCGUGACAUUAGUUAGUUGGUGAGGUAACGGCUCACCAAAACGAUGAUGUCUAGGGGUUCUGAGAGGAUUAUCCCCCACACCGGUACUGAGACACGGACCAGACUCCUACGGGAGGCAGCAGUGAGGAAUAUUGGUCAAUGGACGCAAGUCUGAACCAGCCAUGCCGCGUGCAGGAUGACGGCCCUAUGGGUUGUAAACUGCUUUUCCACGGGAAGAACCCUCCGACGUGUCGGAGACUGACGGUACCGUGGGAAUAAGCAUCGGCUAACUCCGUG